rnacentral:rRNA from 1 species
CGGGUCGCAAGAUUAAAACUCAAAUGAAUUGACGGGGGCCCGCACAAGCGGUGGAGCAUGUGGUUUAAUUCGAUGCAACGCGAAGAACCUUACCUACUCUUGACAUCUACAGAAGCCAGCGGAGACGCAGGUGUGCCUUCGGGAACUGUAAGACAGGUGCUGCAUGGCUGUCGUCAGCUCGUGUUGUGAAAUGUUGGGUUAAGUCCCGCAACGAGCGCAACCCUUAUCCUUGUUUGCCAGCACUUCGGGUGGGAACUCCAGGGAGACUGCCGGUGAUAAACCGGAGGAAGGUGGGGACGACGUCAAGUCAUCAUGGCCCUUACGAGUAGGGCUACACACGUGCUACAAUGGCGCAUACAGAGGGCGGCCAACUUGCGAAAGUGAGCGAAUCCCAAAAAGUGCGUCGUAGUCCGGAUUGGAGUCUGCAACUCGACUCCAUGAAGUCGGAAUCGCUAGUAAUCGUGGAUCAGAAUGCCACGGUGAAUACGUUCCCGGGCCUUGUACACACCGCCCGUCACACCAUGGGAGUGGGCUGCAAAAGAAGUGGGUAGUUUAACCUUCGGGAGGACGCUCACCACUUUGUGGUUCAUGACUGGGGUGAAGUCGUAACAAGGUAACCG